rnacentral:rRNA from 3 species
ACAGUGGACGCGAGCAUCUGUGGCCAAGUUUUUAAGGGCGCACGGUGGAUGCCUUGGCACCAGGAACCGAUGAAGGACGUGGGAGGCCACGAUAGGCCC